UUUCCUCUUUGUUUUUAAUAACCGCAGUCCUAAUGGGUGUGAAGUUGCUUCUCGUCGUGGUUCCGGUCUGCGUUCCGAGACGGCCCUUUAUUUCAGGUCGUCUCCCAGUGUUGAUGAGAGGGAGUCUCGGCGGCGUUUCUCCAGUGUUAACGUGCACACGAGUCCUCUCGGGAGCUUGUGGAAAUCCUGGUUCCGGAGAUCUGGAGUGCGGCCUCUGCAUUUCUAGCAAGCACCAGGGGUGCCAGUGACAAAAGCGGCCGGUCCGAAGGCCAUGCCGUGAGUCGCAAAGACAGAUGGGAAGAAGUGCGUUGGCUCCGGAGUCGGGCAGACCUGACUCGGGGAGGAUUCAGAGUCGUGGAUCCAGGGCCUCCUUGGCUAGAGCCGAGCACUUUCAGAUUCCUGGCACCUGCCGACAUCGUGGGAAGGAAGCAGCUGGGUGACUUUCUCGUCGCCACAGAAUGCAGGCUGUAAAGCCUGUGACUCUCUUCUAAGCUCUGCUGAAGUUCACACGUGUGCCUCUCUGUUCAUCCGUGAAGCCUUUCUAGGGACCCUCCAGCAGCGCACGGUGCCAGAAGCGGAAGCCAAGGCCUUACAGUGGGACUGACUCAGCUAGGACCAGAACUCCUCCCUUGGGGACCGAGCCAGGACACCCUGAUUGCCGAAUCCCCCCUGAUCUCUUAGCCUUCUGCUUUCUGCUGGAUGGAACUGGUGGAGCGUCUACCGGACGGGCUAUGGCCACAGCACCGGCUCCCAGCUCCUCGGCCCCAGGGCCUCUGGCCACCGCUCCACUUGCUCUUGCCGCGGAGGGAGGGGAUCCAAAGGCCUUCUUUAGGGUGAAGAGGCGACAUGUGUUCAGCAAAGUCUGGGCAGGAAAAAGAAAGCCUUUGGGUGGAGGGACCCAAAGAGCAGCUCCCACAGAAAGCCCAGCCGCGCCCACGCCACUGGGACAGACGUGAACGAGGUCUGGCCCCCCUUUCCUGGUUCCCACUCUGUAGGUGUCGGGGUGGGGGCUCCAGAAAGCCAACUUUGUAAUGGGUGUCCUAGGUGAAUUCUGAUAACCAAAAUGACAAGGAAAGGCAGGGGACACGGGGAGGGGGAGCUGCCAGCCGCUCGGGCCGGGCCGCGUGGCCUCCCCGUGAUCUGACCCCAGCUGACGUGCUCCCGGUGGGCCUGUCUCCCCCAUUCAUCCUCCGCUGGCUUCCCAGCAGGCGCUCGGGCCUUUCCUCACGCCGUCUGCCAAGCCAGCCUCCACCGCCCUGCCCUCUGCCAGUCCAGAUAUAAAUGUAGGAGCAUUUUCCAUGGGCCGGUACAGAAGGGCAAGCAUUUGACUUUAUUUUAGAGCCGCGAAAUUCCCUCCCUUCAUAUCCAACAGGUGCAUCGCCUCAUUUAGACAUCGGGACCUAGAAAUAGAACACAAUCUACAAUAUAGCUUCCUUCAGGCAUCUGGAUGCUAUUUAAAAAGAAAAAAAAAAAAGGCCUUCUGUGAGAUGGCGGGACACAGGCUGAUCGCCGGCUUGACCCGCUCAGCAGAGGAGCCCAGCGCUCUGGGAGACUGCUGGGAGGGACGGCUGCCCUGUGAGCGCAGGGCCCCUGCUCAGGACGACGGACAGGCGUGGGAAUGGGCACAGGAAGUGUUUCCAGUAAAUCCAUCAGUUAAAUCAACUGCACCCACCCACCAAACCUUUGUGGACUAAGGACAGAGGAGAUGACCCCAGGUGUCUCUUGGCAAACUCUGCUCAUGUCAGCUGUUGGGGGUAGAUGGUGUUGAAAUCCUGACCCCCAGGACCUCAGAAUGUCGCCCCAUUUGGAACCAGGUCUUGGAGUUGAUCCAGUUAAGAUGAUGUCAUCGGGGGGGUCCUAACCCAGUAGGCCGGGUGUCCUCAGGAAAAGGGGGAUUUGCACACAGAGACAGACGCACAGGCAGGAAGACGCCACGUGGGACGGAGGCAGAGAUGGGUGAUGGGUCUACCAGCCGAGGACGUGGAAGACGCCGGCAAGCCAGCAGGGGCUGAGAGAGGGGCCCCAGGAGGAACCGGCCAUGCUGGCACCUGGGUCUCAGACGUGCGGCCUCCAGACUGUGGGGGAGUGGACGUCUGUGGUUCAAGCCGGCUGGUAUGGGGAACUUGGUUACGCAGCCCCAGGACUCGGAUAUAUUAGCUAAGCCUCCCGCUCACACUGUCUGUCCCUCGGGGCGCGGCUGAUCCCUGCAGAGGGAAGGGAAUGUGAGGAAGGCUUUCCCAGAGGGCGUCUUCCUUCCACCUGCUGAUACAGUCUGGUACUUGCUGAAGCCACGGGCUCCUGGGUGGCCAGUUUCGUCAAGGUCACCCUUGGUCCUGAGAAGCCCAAGAUAACGGUCAAGUUUCCUCUGGGGUGUCCCCAAGGCUCCUCCAAUGGCUGUCGUCCAAGCAGCCCCAGAGGAGCCUCCAGCGGAAUCUGCAGGUGCCGUGUGGCCAGGGUGGGCCUGGUGGACGUUCCUCAGCAGGGCCACAGGGCUUGGGGCUGAGACGGGGACCUCCUGCCACUUGCCCUAUGGCCCCAUUCAGGGCCAGGACCAAGGUGCCUGACUUUGUCCCUCAGCCUGGGCCAGAAGUGGCGUUGCUGACAGCUGGCCAGCCCCUCUGCAGAGAGGAGCAGGUGUCCCCUCCGGGUGUCGAGAACUCAAUCAGUCUCCGUGAGACGCAGGCCGCCCUCCCGGGCCAGCCGGAGACGCCAAGAUGUGCUGGCAGGAGGGAGGACCAGCCCAGCAGGUGACCGCCCGGUGGUUGGAGGUGGAAAGAGGCUGCCCCGUGGGGGCAGGAGGCUGGGGAGGGGUCCCCUGUUGGCAUCUGAGUCUGUUUGAGAGGCCUGUCUUGGGCAGGGUCAAGGUCUGCCCCUCUCUCAGCUGGUGGACGCCUGCGGCUUCAGGAAAGGGCAGACAGAGGGGAGGUGAUGGUGCCACGGGCGGCCACGGACACAGUCCCUGGGCGAUGUGGUGGCCUCCGUAGAGAGUGGCAGACCCCGACUAGAUGGCCUUUUGAGCGCCCUGCCAGUGUGGGCACGCGCAGCCCACGGCUGCCUCUUCCCUGGGCCUUGAUCUCCCCAGCACGUCCACACCCCGUGGCUGCUCUCCCUCCCAGCUUGAUGCUGUUCCCAUUUCUGGUCUCUUUCUUCCGAAGACGGUGCCUCCCGCUCGUACUGGCGCCACGGCCUCCCACCAGUCCUGCCCUUCAUCCCUCCGUCCCACAGCUCCACGCCCUCGCCGUCCCUCCCCCACUCUGCGGCCAGAGGGCCACGUCAGCCACCUGCAGCCCCUCAAGGACAGCUCCACGCUCAGCCUCCGCCGUUGACUCAGAGCCUCAGAGGACAUGUGGUUGUCCUCUGCCCUGUGGUUGUGGGGGGCCCUCGCUCUGUCCGGGGCCGCCUGGGGAGGAGGGUGGCGGCGGCGUGCGGCAUCCCUGACGGGACGCAGCUGAGCCCGGAGUCCAGACCAGCGGCAGGCGGAGGGGAGCCCUGAGGCAGCUCUCCCCACAGAGGCCAGCGGAAUGGCAGGCGCGGGCCACGCUGGCAGCUGUCCCCCACCGGCCUUUAACUCUGGGAUAGCAGAAGCAGAAACAGAGCAAGUCAAACACAGGACAGUCCUUGGUCACCGUCUUCGCUCACUCACCCUAACAGCCCUCCAGGCUUCUCCCGUUCGGGAUCGGGUUGGGCAGCGGCAGGCAGAGAGGAGAAACACCGAACGGGCGAGUGUGGGGCCGGGCAGCACGGCAGGCCAGCCGUCAGCUCCUGGGGUGACGUCCUGUCCCUCCUCCCUGCACCGAG